rnacentral:rRNA from 1 species
GACGAACGCUGGCGGCGUGCUUAACACAUGCAAGUCGAACGGAAAGGCCCUGCUUGCAGGGUGCUCGAGUGGCGAACGGGUGAGUAACACGUGGGUGAUCUGCCCCUUACUUUGGGAUAAGCCUGGGAAACUGGGUCUAAUACUGGAUAGGACCAUGCUGUAGGUGGUGUGGUGGAAAGAUUAGUUUCGGUAAGGGAUGAGCUCGCGGCCUAUCAGCUUGUUGGUGGGGUAAUGGCCUACCAAGGCGUCGGCGGGUAGCCGGCCUGAGGGGGUGGACGGCCACGGGGGGAGUGAGAUGCCGCCCAGCCUCCUGGGGGGGGCAGGAGGGGGAAAUAGCGCAAAAGGGGCGGAAGCCUGAUGCAGCACCGCCGGGUGGGGGAUGGCGGCCUGGGUGUUAAACACCGUUCACGCAUGAGAAGACCCGUGAGGUACGGGUAUGGGUAAAGAAAGACCCGGUAAAUAACGG